rnacentral:rRNA from 1 species
CCUACGGGAGGCAGCAGUGAGGAAUAUUGGACAAUGGGCGCAAGCCUGAUCCAGCCAUGCCGCGUGCAGGAAGACGGUCCUAUGGAUUGUAAACUGCUUUUAUACAGGAAGAAACACCUCUACGUGUAGAGACUUGACGGUACUGUAUGAAUAAGCAUCGGCUAACUCCGUGCCAGCAGCCGCGGUAAUACGGAGGAUGCAAGCGUUAUCCGGAAUCAUUGGGUUUAAAGGGUCCGUAGGCGGUUUAAUAAGUCAGUGGUGAAAGCCCAUCGCUCAACGAUGGAACGGCCAUUGAUACUGUUAAACCUUGAAUUAUUAGGAAGUAACUAGAAUAUGUAGUGUAGCGGUGAAAUGCUUAGAGAUUACAUGGAAUACCAAUUGCGAAGGCAGGUUACUACUAAUAUAUUGACGCUGAUGGACGAAAGCGUGGGGAGCGAACAGGAUUAGAUACCCUGGUAGUCCACGCCGUAAACGAUGGAUACUAGCUGUUCGGAGCAAUNUNGUGNGUAGAGAAGAGAUAGUAUCCACCGUGGUAGUACGUCGCGAGAGAGAACGUACGAAGAAGUAGAGACGUGAGAGACGACGACGGACGACGACGAGGGGAGGAGG